UUAAGCUAUUAACCACAUUAAGUCUCUGAAAGACUGAAUGCACCACAGGUUUUCCCUGUAUAAAGCUGAAAUCUCCUUUGCUUCAUUUUGGGUCUGGAAACGAUUUUACACAACAGGGGAAGUUGGGGUUACUGUUGGAGAGGGUUCAGUGCUCAGCAGGAAAUAGGCUCACCAUAUCUGGAGCACGGACCAGUUUUUAGCCCCAGCAUUAAGAAAGGGAAUGUUGGUAUUUGAGAGGAUCCAAAGGAGGUUGUCCAGAAUGAUCCUGGGGAUAGAAAGUUUUGAGGUGUGUUUGAGAGCUCUAAGCCUGUACUUGCUGGAAUUUUGAAGAAUGAGGGGGAUCUCAUUGAAACCUAUCCGAUAAAAGACCUAGACAGAGUGGAUGUGGAUAGGAUGUUUCCAACUGUAGGGGGAGUCCUGAACCAGAAGGCAUGGUCUCAGAAUAGAAGGACAUCCCUUUAGAACAGAGAUGAGGAGAAAUUUCUUUUGCCAGAGGGUAUUCAUUGCCAGACGGCUGUGGAGGCCAAGUAUUGAGAAUAUUUAAAGCAAGGGUUAAUAGAUAUUUGAUUAAUCAGCAUCAAAGUUUUUGGGUUGAAGACAGGAGAAUGGGGUUGCGAGUUGUAACAGAUCAGCUGUGAUGGAAUGGCGGAGCAGACUCAAUGGGCCAAAUGGCCGAAUUCUAAUCAUAUGUCUUAUGGUCAGAGCGUGAGGCAUCCAGGGUCGAAGGAGGUGGUGAACAUUACUCCGGUUGGCAGCCUCGGCUGUCCCUGAAUAUAUUUAAUGGAAGUGUCAGAACUUGUCGGAGAGUGAAAAAUCACAGAAACAGGCACAUCUGCCAUUGAAUGUAUGCGAAACACUGAUCCUACAUUCUCCCCAUAUCCCCAGCACAGGGCACUCAGAGGAAAACCCACACAGUCCCAGGGAGAACAUGCAAGCUCCACGUAGAAACACUGGAUGUGGGGGUCAAACCCAACCUCUGGAACUGGGAGACAGCUGCCCCACCAUCCCUCCCCGGGUGGGUGUGUUUACAGGCGGGUUGCUCUUGAAAUCCGAGGGGGACCAAUAUUCUUGUGGGCAGGUUUACCUGAGUUGUUGGGAGUAGUUUAAACUAAUAUGAUGGGCGUGGGAAUCAGGACGAUCGAGCUGAGGAUGAGCCAGCAGGUGUACAAGGAGAUGAUGGGAGUAACAUGAAUGUCAGGAAGGACAAGCCAAUGAUUGGGUACAAAUACAAACAGAGCAAAGAGUUAAAUUGUACCACAGAGGCAAAAUACAAAAGGGCAAAGAAUGCAGGACUGAAGGUGUUGUAUUUAAAUGUGCGUAGCAUUCGGAAUAAGGUGGGUGAACUUGCGGCGCAAUUAGAGAUUGGUCAGUAUGACGAUGUGGGCAUCUCUGUGUCGUGGCUGAAAGAAGACUAUAGUUGGGAGUUUAACAUCAAAGGAUACACUUUGUAUCGAAAGGACAGGCAGGAAGGCAUAGGUGGUGGUGUGGCUCUGUUGGUAAGAGAUGGAAUUACAUCUUUAGAAAGAGGUGACAUAGGAUCAGAGAAUGUUGAAUCUUUGUGGGUGGAGUUAAGAAACUGCAAAGGUAAAAAAAACAUGGGAAUCUUAUGAGGGGUGAUUCAUAAGUUCGUGGCCUAAGGUGGAAGGAGUCAAUUUUAGAAAACCUAGCACAUUUAUUUUUCAACAUUUAUUUCCCCUUCCUAUAUUUACACACAGUCCAGCGGUCAUGGAGCAUAUGGCUCUUGGACCUCCAGAAAGUGUCCACAGCAGGGGUAUUUGAUAAGUUUGUGGCCUAGGGUAGAAGGAGAUGAGUUAUACAGCUCUCAUUGCAUGCACAUGCAGGUCAACUCUUUGGGUGAUUAUGCAGAAAGUUUAAGGUUAAUAAUUCAUCUCCUUCUACCUUGGGCCACGAACUUAUCAAUCACCCGAUGAGUUAUUAACUUCAAACUUUCAAUUUUCAAGUAAAUUGUAAAUGGUCUCUGUACUCUCUAUGUAAAAGCAUAGAGGGCUAGUCUGAUACAGACACACAUCUUGGGCACUGUGUACCAGGUACCGUGUGAUCAACUGUAAAAGCAUGAAUGGAUAUUUGGAUAAUUAUGGACCGAGUGAUAAUGGAUCAGAGAUCUGAGCCUCACAACGAGAAUGCACACAACAAGAUGGACAAACAACCAAUGGUGCAAAAGACAACAAAAAGGGGGAAAACUGAAAUAUUAACAAAAAUAAAUAAGCAAUAAAUAUCUUCGCUGAGCAAGACACUAGCAGUGUGCCAGAUGUGAGGGAAGAGAAGUGAGUGCAGCUAGAAGGAGCUCCAAAAACUGAAAGACCUAAGGGUACAUAAGUCACCCGGACCAAAUGAACUGCACCCUCGGGUUCUGAAAGAGGGUUGAGAUUGUGAAGACUGCAGAAGGAUUUAGACAGAUUAGGUAAAUGGGCAAGAAAAUGGCAAAUGAAAUACAUUGUUGGAAAUGCAUGGUCAUGCACUUUAGUAGAAGAAAUAAAUGUGCAGACUAUUUUCUAAAUGGGGAGAAAAUGCAAAAUCUGAGAUGCAAGGAGACUUGAGAGUCCUUGUGUAGAAAAUCCUAAAGUUUAACUUGCAGGCUGUCAAUGGUGAGGAAAGCCAAUGCCAUGUUAGCAUUCAUUUCAAGAAGUCAAGAAUGCAAGAGCAGGGAUGUGAUGCUGAGGCUUUAUAAGGCACUGGUGAGGCCUCACCUUGAGUAUUGUGAACAGUUUUGGGCUCCUCGUCUAAGACAGAGUUUGAUAGGCUCCUGAUUGGGCACAGCAUCAAAACUGAUGGGGAUAAGGCCUGGAAGUGGGCUGAAGAUGGGUAAAAAGGAUCAGCCAUGAUUGAAUGGCAGAAAAAGCUCAAAGCACCAAAUGGGCUAAUUCUACUCCUAUGUCUUAUGGUCUAAAUAUCGAAAACAUGAGACAAGGAGUCCUUAAACUGUGGGAACAGCUCAGUGAUGGAGUGAGUGAAGUCAUCUCCUCUGGUUCAGGAGCCUGAUGGUUGAGGUGUAAUAACUGUUCCUGAAUCUGGUGGUGUGGGUCCUGAGGCUCGUGUGCUUUCUUCCUGAUAGCAUCAGUGAAAAGAGAACAUGUCUUGGUUGGUGGCAAUCCUUGAUAAUGGAUGCUACUUUUCUGUGGCAGUGGGUUCAUGUAGAUGUGCUCAAUGGUGGGAGUGUUUUACCCAUAAUGGACAGGUCAUAUACAGUAUUUUUUAUUGGGUUUUCUAUUGAAGGACACUGGUGUUCCCAUUCCAGGCUGAAGGUGCUGGGCUCUGUCCUAUGUUCUCUGUUAGGACUUUAUUCUCUAUCUGAAUACAAGAGAAUGCAGUGAGUUUUAAUGGAGCAACCAGUCAAUAUGCUCACUACUGUAACACUGUGCAGCUAUCGAAAUUUGGCAAAGUUUUAUUUUUUUAUCAUUUUUAUUGCAACACCAACAAAUUACAUUCAAUACAACCAGUUGCUGAUGAAAUUUUGACUGUUUAACUCAGCCACCCCCCAACCUUCAUCCGCAUCCAUCCCGUCACCCCUCAUCCUUUUCCUCAUCCCCACCCCCCUCUCCACCCCUCUCUCCCUCCCUCUCUACCCCCCAAUCCUUCUCCCCUGAGCCCAGAGUCCUGGGCUUUGGCUAAGUGGGCUUCGGCGUAAGGGGACUUCGGUAAGCCUGUGUGAUUGCUCGCUGAGGGGAAGAAGGUAAGGUUGCUAGGUGCUAUUUAGACUUAUUCUAUUAAUUCAGUUCAGGUAUGGGGGAGACAGUCAGAGCAGUGGUGUGCUCCGUAUGCGGUAUGUGGGAGGUCAGGGUCAACACAGUUGUCCCUGAUGACCACACCUGCAAAAGGUGCGUCCAGCUGCAGCUCCUAUCAGCCCGAGUUAGGGAGUUGGAGCUGGAGCUGGAUGAACUACGGAUCAUUCGGGAGGCAGAGGCAGAGAUAGAUAGGAGUUAUCAGGAGGUAGUCACACCAAAAAACCAAGAAGUAGACAGAUGGGUGACGGUCCAGAGAGGCAGGGGGAGCAGGCAGAGAGAGCAGAGCACCCCUGCGGCCAUUCCCAUUAACAAUAAGUAUACCGUACUGGAUACUGUUGAUGGGGAUGACCUACCAGGAAUGAGUUGUAGUGGUCCUGCCUCUGGCACAGAGGUUGAACCCUCAACUAGAAAGGGGAGGAGGGAAGAGAAGAGAGCGAUAGUUUUAGGGGAUUCUAUAGUCAGGGGGGCAGAUAGGAGAUUUUGUGGGGCAGAUUGGGAGUGUCGGAUGGUAUGUUGCCUCCCUGGUGCCAGGGUCCGGGACAUCUCAGAUCGGGUGCAGGCUAUUCUUGAGAACGAGGGCAUGAACCCAGAUGUAGUGGUCCAUGUAGAGACCAACGAUGUAGGUAAGGUGAGUGAGGGGGUCCUGCUUAGAGAGUUCAGGGAGUUAGGAGUGAAGCUGAAAGGCAGGACCUCCAGGGUGACAAUCUCGGGAUUGUUACCUGUGCCAUGUGCGAGUGAGGCGAAGAGUAGAAUGAUUAUGCAGAUUAAUACGAGGCUGAGAGCAUGGUGCAGGAAGGAAGGGUUCAGGUUUUUGGAUAAUUGGUCUUUGUUCCAGGGACAUUGGGAUCUGUUUCGAAGGGAUGGUCUACAUCUGAACCGGAGGGGUACUAACAUUCUUGCAGGAGUGUUUGCCAGUGCUGCUCGGGGGGGUUUAAACUAGAUGUGCAGGGGGCAGGGAUCCAGAUCCAGAGGGUUGGUCAGAAGGAGCACGGGGUUAAAUGUGUAGAAGGUUUGGGUGAUCUUGAGAAGGUCAUCAAAAUUCAAGGUGCAAUUAGCCCGAUGGAAGUUCAAGGAGCUGGGUUAGGUACAGUAGACAGUGCUUUAAGCAAAGAGAGGAGGAAUGGGCUCAGAAUUCUAUACUUGAAUGUGCGUAGUGUCAGAAAUAAGACAGAUGAGCUUGAAGCUCAGAUGAAAAUGCGGAACUACAAUAUUGUUGGGAUAACGGAGACAUGGCUGCAAGGGGAUCAGGCCUGGGAAAUGAGUGUACCAGGGUAUACGUGCUAUCGUAGAGACAGAAAUAUGGGAAGAGGGGGUGGGGUGGCCCUGUUGGUGAGGAAUGAGAUUCAAUCCUUAGCAAGAGGUGACUUGGGAACAGGGGAAGUAGAGUCUGUGUGGAUUGAGCUGAGGAACAGUAAGGGUAAAAAGACCCUAAUGGGUGUUGUGUACAGGCCCCCAAACAGUAGCGUGGAUAUUGGGUACAAGUUGAUUAGGGAGUUAACAUUGGCAUGUGCUAAAGGUAAUGCAGUCGUUAUGGGAGAUUUCAACAUGCAGGUGAACUGGGAGAAUCAGGUAGGUGCUGGACCCCAGGAUAGGGAGUUUGCGGAGUGUUUAAGGGAUGUAUUUUUGGAACAGCUUGUGCUUGAGCCAACCAGGAACGAGGCUAUUUUGGACUUGGUGAUGUGUAAUGAACAGGAAUUGAUAAGUGAUCUUGAAGUAAAGGAGCCAUUAGGAAGUAGUGAUCAUAACAUGAUAAGUUUUUAUCUACAAUUUGAGAGGGAUAAGGGCAGAUCAGAGGUGUCAGUGUUGCAAUUAAAUAAAGGAGACUACGGAGCCAUGAGGGAAGAGCUGGCCAAAGUUAAAUGGGCAGAUGCCCUGGCAGGAAAGACAGUGGAUCAGCAGUGGCAGAUAUUCUUGGGCAUAAUACAAAAGAUGCAAAAGCAGUUCAUUCCAAUGAGAAGGAAGGAUUCAAAGAGGGGGAAGGGGCCACAGUGGUUGACAAAGGAAGUCAGAGAUUGUAUAGCAUUAAAGAAAAAGAAAUAUGACAGGGCUAAGAUGAGUGGGAAUACAGCUGAUUGGGAAAGUUUUAAGGAACAGCAGAUCUUAACUAAACAAGCAAUACGGAGAGAAAAAAUCAGGUAUGAGCUCAGUCUAGCCAGGAAUAUAAAAGGGGAUAGCAAAAGCUUUUUUAGCUAUGUGAAGAGAAAGAUGAUAGUUAAGAACAAUGUUGGCCCCUUGAAGAAUGAAUUGGGAGAAAUUGUUAUGGGAAACAGGGAAAUGGCAACAGAAUUUAAUGCGUACUUUAGAUCUGUCUUCACCAGGGAGGACACAAGCAAUCUCCCAGAUGUAUGGAUGGGCCAGGGUCAUAAGAUAUCAGAGGAAUUGAGACAGAUUGACAUUAGGAAAGAAACUGUGAUGAGUAGACUGGUAGGACAGAAGGCUAAUAAAUCCCAGGGUCCAGAUGGUCUGCAUCCGAGGGUUCUAAAAGAGGUGGCUCAGGAAAUUGCGGAUGCAUUGGUAAUCAUUUUCCAAUGUUCCUUAGAUUCAGGAUCAGUUCCUGAAGAUUGGAGAGUGGCUAAUGUUAUCCCACUUUUCAAGAAGGGAGGGAAGGAGAAAACGGAGAACUAUCUGUUAGCCUAACGCCAGUCAUGGGGAAGAUGCUUGAGUCCAUUAUUAAGGACGAAAUAGUGGCACAUCUAGAUGGCAGAAAUAGGAUUAGGCCGAGCCAGCAUGGAUUUACCAAGGGCAAAUCAUGCUUGACUAAUCUGUUGACAUUUUUUGAGGGUGUAACACGGAUGUUAGACAAGGGUAAGCCAGUCAAUAAGGUGCCACAUAGGAGAUUGGUGAGUAAAAUCAGAGCUCAUGGCAUUGGGGGCAGGGUUUCAACAUGGAUAGAAAACUGGUUGGCAGAUAGAAAGCAAAGGGUAGCAGUGAAUGGGUGUUUCUCAGACUGGCUGGAGGUGACUAGUGGGGUACCACAGGGCUCUGUAUUGGGACCACAGCUCUUUACGAUUUAUGUCAAUGAUUUAGAUGAGGGCAUUGAAAACUAUAUCAGCAAGUUUGCUGACGAUACAAAACUGGGUGCAGUGUGACAUGCGAAGAGGACAUUAGGAGAAUACAGGGAGACUUGGAUAGGCUGAGUGAGUGGGCAGAUACUUGGCAGAUGUCAUUCAAUGUGAAUAAAUGUGAAGUUAUCCACUUCGGAAGCAGGAACAAGAGGGCAGAGUAUUGUCUGAAUGGUGUAGAGUUAGGUAAGGGAGAAAUGCAAAGAGACCUAGGAGUCCUAGUUCACCAGUCAAUGAAGGUGAAUGAGCAAGUGCAACAGGCAGUGAAGAGGGCAAAUGGAAUGUUGGCCUUUGUUACAAGGGGAAUUGAGUACAAGAGCAAGGAUGUCCUUUUGCAUUUGUACAGGGCCCUGGUGAGACCACACCUGGAAUAUUGUGUACAGUUUUGGUCUCCAGGUUUAAGGAAGGACAUUCUGGCAAUUGAGGAAGUGCAGCGUAGAUUCACUAGGUUGAUUCCUGGGAUGGCAGGGCUGUCUUACGCAGAGAGAUUGGAGAGAUUGGGCUUGUACACGCUGGAAUUGAGGAGAUUGAGAGGGGAUCUGAUUGAAACAUUUAAGAUAAUUAAAGGAUUUGAUAGGAUUGAGGCAGGAAAUAUGUUCCAGAUGUUGGAAGAGUCCAGUACCAGAGGGCAUGGUUUGAGAAUAAGAGGUCAGUUAUUUAAAACAGAGUUGAAGAAGAGCUUCUUCUCCCAGAGAGUUGUGGAGGUGUGGAAUGCACUGCCUCGGAAGACGGUGGAGGCCAAUUCUCUGGAUGCUUUCAAGAAGGAGCUAUAUAGAUAUCUGAUGGAUAGGGGAAUCAAGGGAUAUGGGGACAAGGCAGGGACUGGGUAUUGAUAGUGAAUAAUCAGCCAUGAUCUCAGAAUGGCGGUGCAGCCUCGAGGGGCCGAAUGAUCUACUUCUGCACCUAUUGUCUAUUGUCUAUUGUCCCCUCCACCAACCAACUGAAAAGUAGUGCAUACACAGACAGAGCAUUCCUAUUUUAACAGACCUUUUAAGUUAGAUAAAGUUUGUCAAAGUUUUAGAUGACGUGCUGAAUUGGCACAAACUUCUAAGAAAGUAGAGGUGCUGCCAUUCCUUCUUUGUGAUGUCACUUACGUGCUGGAUCCAGGAUACAUCGUCUGAUAUGGUGAAGCAAACUUCACCAUAUCACUUGAUAUGGUGAAGUACCCUGUACUUCCUCAUCUAAGUAAUUUCUAAAAUUCUCAAAGAAUCCCAGAAAUGUCAAUAAUACAAUUAUCUAAGGGCGAAUCUCUGACCUGAACAUUUUUCUCCAUUUCUUUCCCCACAGAUGCUACCUGACCCACUGAGUAUUCACAAUAAUUUCUGGUUUUGUUUCAGAUUUUCAGCAUCUACAGGAUUUUUUUGAUUUCCCAUAGCGACUAGCAUAAAGCUAUUACAGCAUCAACUGUAAGAUUGAGUUCAAUUCCCACGGCUGUCUGUAAGGAGUUUGUAUGUUCUCCUUGUGACCACAUGAAUAUCUUCCAGCUGCUCCAGUUUCCUCCCACGUGUGGAAGACAUUAGGAUUAGUGAGUUGUGGGAAUGCUAUGUUGACGCUGGAAGAGGAGCAUGGUGACAUCUGUGGGCUGCCCAGAACAAUUUUUGAUUUGGCGCAAACAACAUGAAUCACUGUAUAUUUUGAUGUUCUUGUGCAUGAGUCACAAAAGGUUGGUUUGCAGGUGCAACAGGCUAUCGAGAAAGCAAAUGGAAUGUUGGCCCUCAUUGCUAGAGGGAUUGAAUUCAAGAGCAGGGAGGUUAUGCUGCAGCUAUACAGGGUACUGGUAAGACUGCAACUGGAGUAUUGUGUGCAGUUCUGGUCUCCUUACUUGAGGAAGGAUAUACUGACUUUGGAGGCGGUGCAGAGGAGGUUCACCAGAUUGAUUCUGGAGAUCAGGGGAUUAGACAAUGAGGAGAGAUUGAGUUACAUGGGGCUGUACUCGCUGGAAUUCAGAAGGAUGAGAGGAGAUCUUAUAGAAAUAUAAAAUUAUGAAAGGGAUGGAUAAGAUGGAGGCAGGAAAGUUGUUUCCACUGGUAGGUGAGACUAGAACUUGGGGACAUAGCCUCAAGAUUCAGAGGAGUAGAUAGCACGGAGAUGAGGAGGAACUGCUUUUCCCAGAGAGUGGUGAAUCUGUGGAAUUCUCUGCCCAAUGAAGCAGUGGAAGCCAGAUCAGUAAAUAUAUUUAAUACAGGGUUGAAUAGAUUUUUGCAUAGUAGGGAAUUAAGGGUUUUGGGGAAAAGGCAGGUAGGUGGAGAUGAAUCCAUGACCAGAUCAGCCAUGAUCUUAUUCAAUGUCAGAGCAGGCUCGACAGGCCAGAUGGCCGACUCCUGGUCCUAUUCCUUAUGUUUUUAUAUACAUGUCACAAAUAAAACUAAUUCUUAAAUCUUUAAUUAUAUAAUAAUUAUUAUAUAAUAUAAUUAUGGAGAAGGAUAGGUCUGGACCCAGGGUUGAGAUUUUUGAUUGGAGAAAGGCUAACUUUGAGGAGAUGUGAAAAGAUUUAGGAGUGGAUUGGGACAAUUUGUUUUAUGGUGUUCCGUACCCCGUAACUGGGUUUACAGACCAGCAGAAAUAGAAGAAUCCAUUGGAGUCUGGUGGUACCGAAAACUAAAGGUGUUAUUAGUAAACUGCACAAUACAGUAUCAAAAAUGCAAAUAUACAUAUAAAACAGGUUAGCAGUAAUAAACAUAGAAGUGUAGGAAUAAUAUUCAACAAUAAUAAACAAGCUCUAUCGAUGUCUGGGGGUAAAUGAAUUGUCAUAGAAAAGUAUAAAGUUCAGUUCAGUUCAUGUGUGCUGAGGUAGUUGCAGUUGUUGUAUUGUAAUUCGUUGGAGAGAGAGAGAGAGUGAGAGAUUGAGCAGCUGCAGCCAGCAAACCUUCUGUUGUAUUCUGAUUCCGUUGUACCAUUAUGGUCAAUCAGUUAUGACCCCUCCGUUCUCAGCCAGACCGUUCUUCUGUGGUGGACUCGUCACUCUGGCAUGAGUGGACAAACGCACAAGUCCCCACCGGCCCUGCCGUCACACUGUGAGCUUUAUUGACCGAUCUCCUGGUUCGGUCUCUGAAACCCCCACCUUUCUGUGGGUUCACAACACUCAGUCAGUGUCCACUGGUGUGUCUGCGGGUGUCUCCCCAGACCUGUCUUUUAUCCCCAUUGACGGGGUAUCAGCCAUCCAUCAACUCAAAAUGACCAUGUCCAUCAAAUCAGGCCACUCCUGCUGUCUCCUGAGGAAUGUUAAUGAGCAAAGUUAUGUCCUUGUAGUGAAAGGUAAACAAUCCAGGAAGAGCCAAAAUACAAUAAAUCAACAGUCUCUCUCUGUUAUCUGUAGCAGAUGUCUCUGCCUCUGUGCUUCAUCUCUCUUUCUCAUUAGCAGCAUAGCAACAGCAAUAGUCCAUAGUUCUCAAGGGGGGAGGGGAAUGGUUAACUCUGCACCCUAUUUCCAUCAGGUCUGUUCAUCAUUCAUAACAAUGGAAGGAUGUGAUCGAGAAAUGGAGGUCAUUUAAAGGUGAAAUUUUGAAGAGCCAGGCCUCGAGAACCGAACGACAAAUCAGACAGGAAUUCCAGAAACUUCACUCUUUUCUUCACACGGAGGAGAC